UCACAUACUCUGCAGAGCGAGGCACUUGAAGAGGCUGUUAGCUUCAGGAUUGUUUCUUGACACGGGUUGUUAUGCGAAACCACAGGCUGGAUUCUCCCGUUCCAUCAAAACAAACACCGAGGGAGAACUCAAAAGCCGUUUACCAAUUGCCUGUCUGAAUGAGACAUUUUAGCGCCACUGUGGUAACAGCUCCCUGCACAUAACACAUCACUCUUAAAGCCACAGUGCUAUCACACUCCCAACUCGCAAACGUCCUUUUCUCUGAUCUCAGACUCUCUGGCUGUACUCCCCUGCCACCAUUAGGAUCAGAGAAGCAGGAAACAGCAGACUGAGUCACUGACUGAAUGCACGCCCCAAAUGGAC